rnacentral:misc_RNA from 1 species
AAGUCGUAACAAGGUUUCCGUAGGUGAACCUGCGGAAGGAUCAUUAUCGAGUCAUUUGAAAAGGGUUGCAGCUGGCCUCUCGGGGCAAGUGCUCGCCUCGCUCAAAAUUCCACUCUUUCAAAAACACCCCUGUGCACUUUAUAAAAUCUCUCCGUGCCGGUCUCUCUUCCUCCACCCCCCCUUGAAGAGGGGGUGGGGGGGAUGGCCUUGCGGGGAGGGCAUUUUAUCUCAUCGACAACACCUUUUUUUGAGUCAUUUGGAAGCAAAAUCAUUUUAAACAUAAGAACAACUUUCAACAACGGAUCUCUUGGCUCUC